AACGAACGCUGGCGGCAUGCCUAACACAUGCAAGUCGAACGAGAUCCUUCGGGGUCUAGUGGCGCACGGGUGCGUAACGCGUGGGAAUCUGCCCUUAGGUUCGGAAUAACAGUUAGAAAUGACUGCUAAUACCGGAUGAUGACGUUAAGUCCAAAGAUUUAUCGCCUGAGGAUGAGCCCGCGUAGGUUUAGCUAGUUGGUGUGGUAAAGGCGCACCAAGGCGACGAUCCUUAGCUGGUCUGAGAGGAUGAUCAGCCACACUGGGACUGAGACACGGCCCAGACUCCUACGGGAGGCAGCAGUGGGGAAUAUUGGACAAUGGGCGCAAGCCUGAUCCAGCAAUGCCGCGUGAGUGAUGAAGGCCUUAGGGUUGUAAAGCUCUUUUACCCGAGAUGAUAAUGACAGUAUCGGGAGAAUAAGCCCCGGCUAACUCCGUG
rnacentral:rRNA from 1 species